GGUCCCUGUCUGUUCCCGAGGACCAACCAGGCAAGAGGUUGUUCUCCAGACCCUAAACCUUUGAAUCGGCCAAACCUGUGUGAGACGUCCUGACUUCAGACAGAGCAGCCGUGACCCGCUGCUGCCCCCCGGGUUUUCCCGCCCAAUGGUUUUCAGAGCCACCAUGGCAGAGGGGAGCAGGCAGCCUCCCACCCAGAGGGGAUUUUGGAAGGGUCUGCGGAGAGCACUUUUCCAUCAUCUGGCCUCCAUGAGGAAUCCAAAUAAAUUGUUUGGAAUCUGUCAAAUCGUGCCAGUGGAGGAGAAGGAGAAGGCAAAGGAGGAGGUGGAGGAG